CUUUUUAACACAAGAGGUCCAGUUGAUGAUGCAGGGAGAGGAACUGUGGAAAGCAGUUUCCCAUGUUUGGAGGGUCCACACCUGUCCCUUUCAAAUGCUGGCACUUUCACACA
rnacentral:snoRNA from 1 species